CCCUUAGAUGUUCUGGGCCGCACGCGCGCUACACUGAUGCAUUCAACGAGUCUAAAACCUGCUCUGAUAGGGGUGGGUAAUCUUUUGAAUGUGCAUCGCGAUUGGGAUAGAUGAUUGCAAUUUUUCAUCUUCAACGAGGAAUGCCUAGUAAACGCAAGUCAUCAGCUUGCAUUGAUUACGUCCCUGCCCUUUGUACACACCGCCCGUCGCUCCUACCGAUUGAAUGAUCCGAUGAAUAUCAUGGAUUGAGGAUGCAAGUAGGUUCGCCUAUCUUCAUCUUCGAGAAGUGAAGUAAAUCUUAUCAUUUAGAGGAAGGAGAAGUCGUAACA
rnacentral:rRNA from 1 species